rnacentral:lncRNA from 1 species
ACGAAGACGAUGCCGCUGCCGGGUUGCUACUGCUGCCCCCUUGUUCUAUUAGAAACACUUCGAAGUGUGCUUCGCUUCCUUUCACCAGCCGCUCGUGCCGUUGAUAUUCAAUGUGCUUAUUAUUAUUCACUUCUAAAACUGUGCUUGAGAAACUACCUUGUAAAGAUUUUUUUUGUCCAACUGAAAAUUUGCUGUAUUCGUUAAGUAAAUCUUCAGUUGGCAAAUAGUAAUCCUGUUUAGCACUUCACUAGAAUAAGUCGUUGAAAAAGUGAACUAAGUGAGCGCACUCCACAAAGAUCACUGAUAUUUCAAAAGAAUAGUCUUCACAACGAACACUUCCAAACGUGUCAGCGUUUGGUAUUUUAUUUCGUUUUUUCUUGAAUUUGUUUCCGCGCCCGCCCUGCGCUGUUCUAUCGUUCUUUAGGCAGUGCACGGCCCGCUAAACAAAUAACAUCAGGUAUUAAACACUGAGGACUUCUUCACUACAACUUCACUUUAUGUAGUAAUACUGGACCUCAGCCAGCCAAUUGAACUGUAGCUACUGUUUCAAUAUUAAUUGUAGUCACUUCGUCGAUCGCUGGUUUCGAUUCGUGCUAGCUACCUUUUCAGAGCAGCCUUGCUAGAGUUGUUGUUACCGACAGCGUCGCCGUGCAAAACAUGGAACCCGCCUGUCGAAACGCUUGGCUCUACUCUGUUAGGCGAUAGUUGCUUAGUUAGUCGGUCUACUGUAUGGAUACUUCUGCUGCUGAUGGUUCGCUCGUUCAACGCGACGGCGGCGGUAGCGACGAUUGAGUUAGCUGCCAACAGCCUCGUGGCUUAAGCAAGGGCCAGCAGUAGCAGGGAGACGGACAGUAGGCAAGCGGCACACGCAGGCCGUGCCGGCAGCGGCCAAGAGUCUCUUUUGAAUGGGAGAAGGUAAAGAGGGCCCCGGGUGAGGGACAACAAACUACACACACCUCCGCCAUCACCAUUAUUAGCCCAGUAAAGUCGCACACCAUCCUGUUGGACGUAUCGCAACGGACAAAUGGUAAGCUUCACAGUAAUCAAAUGUCAGAUGCCGAAUGCGAAGCACCGUGAAUAUUUUGUAGGAGUUCCGACGCCAAUACACGCCAUCUGCGCCACGGUUAAACUUCAGUGUGAGUCUAUCUGGCAUCUGUUGAUAUGAUUUCGAUCGUCUCACUUCUACAAAUUUACGGCAAUAAGGUUACGUACGGUACCUUCGAAUAGUAAUACGUAUGUGGUAUAUCUGCCAUAUAAGGACGAUUUGAGUGCUGGCGGUGCCGUAGUGAAUAGGGAUACGCUGUACAGUGAUUUAUGGUUCUGUUGAACCGGUAGCUCACAUCUGUAUGAUCCUAAUACUUGAGCGGGGGCAUCGAUAUCGGGGCAUCGUGAAAACCGCAGGCCGUAGCAUAUGGAAAACGAAAAAGAUACGCGUACUGUGCCGUUUGAAUCAAGAAGCAUCGGUAAUAGCGUCGCAGACAACGGAGCUCCUGGAAUUCAUACUUUAUAAUUUUCUAUAGAAGAGUGCAUAGAUUUCUUUUUCGAGAUAACUUUAAAUAAUUAUCAUAAGAUAAAAUUUCGAUGGAAGUUUUUUCAACCAGCAUAACCACGGAAUGCUCAAAGUAUUAGUCGGCGGCUUCCUAGCUCAGAGAAUAUUUGGAAGUUGACAUAUAUUUGAUUAUUUCUAUUGCAAUAUCAAAAACGUGAAUUUUACCGUUUUACUACUAAGUCCAUAGAAAAAUAUAGUUUGUCAAAUUAUAAUGGUUUCAGCCAGAAACUGGGUAGCUAAACGACUAACCUGGUCACAGAUCCGGUACCCCAUUAAGAACUCUACAAGGUGUCCUGAAAACAAAAGCAAUGUUUUUCCUAAUUACGACACACAAGGAUAUUCAAAGAUAUAUAAUUUUCGUAAUUUUAUGAUCUCAUUCGUCUUUUUCGGAUAACUGAAGAAAAUAUGAUUAGAUCGACAAUUAGGCAAUUGAAACCUGCACUGCGGUAAUAUCGGAGACAGAAGGUACUGAAGUAAAAUAAAACUGCAGAAUAGAGCUGAGUGAUUUCAAGCGCCAGAACAAUGACGUCUAUCGGUCAAAUUGAUUACGGAAUACUGCGUGCGGUGGUACAAACGAGAAUUGCAUCUUAUAUGUAGUUUUUUAUAUCUUCGCAAUAGUUGGUAUUUUUUUACUAUUUCUAAUGCUUUUUCGAGUAAAAAAUGCCGAGUUCUGCCUCUUAUCACAAAUUUAGGUACCUUAGUGACCAGAUGCUUUUUAUUAGGCUCCUUGAAAAUUUUUUUCAAAAAGUCUGCCCCGGUAUCUUCGAAAUCGACUACUAUAAUGAUCUAUGGCGUUUACAUGUCUAGAAAAAACACAAGGAAUAAAAAUUCUACUAUAUUUGGCGUGGAGUGAACGUUAAAAUUUUCGUUUUGUAUUAGUGAGACGCUAUAGCCUUUUUUGGCACGAAGCUAAUUUUUGUCUGUAAUAAUUUAAGAGCAGUUCCUAUAUAGCGUAUUGCCCAAAUAUGUCAACGCUGUUUAUUUAAGAAAGUCGACUCUUAAUACGAAUCGACAGGACAACAGAUUCACUAUGACCGAAAUCGACAUUUGAGGACUAAACAAGCACGAUAAGUUAUAAAAGGUGGCCUCAAAGGCCUAAGACCAACAGAGCUUCAAGCUACACAUAAAGUAUAUAUAUCUUCAACGUUAAACAGGACCGAUCAUAAUAACUCAUAGAUUACCAAUUAUGUAGAACUGGAUAUAUUGAGCGAGAGCGAGAUGCAGCGACCGUUAUAGUCAGGGUGUCCAAGUCAAGCCAUCUGUUUUGCCAAUUUUAGCGUUGGUCUACACGUAACGUCAUCUCGUAAUAUGCUCAGUUUUUUUUUGAGGAGUCUAAUAAAAUUAAAAAAGGAAUAAUAAAAGAUUCUUAAAGUUCAUAUUAAAAAGUGUGCCUAGAUAUUUACAUCGGCAUAAUUUUCUUUUUUUAGUAUUUAUUUUAUAAUAUAUAUGGUCAAAAUAAUAGUAUAAUAAAGUCGUACAAUACAAAUAAGGUUCUAUAUAAAAUAUGUGAGCUCCCAGUUUUCAGAGGUUCUACAGGCCAACUAAUAUACUGAAUCAGAAGUACACGGAGAAAAUAUAGCAUGCAAUGCGUUGGUCUUGCUAGGUAGAUUUCAAUCUAAGCACACAGAUAUUAAGAUCAUUCAACUUCACUAUUUGCUAAAAAGAACAUGUUAGGAAUAUGUAUUGUUGUAUUAUGCGUCUUUUUGACCGAAUAAUAGCGGUAAGCCGAGCUGCUAGGUUCACUGGCUUUUUUUGCACAGAGAUCACGCCACAAAAAGUGCGUGUUGAGACAGUUAAACAAAAAACGGAUGCUUUAUGGACGAUGUUUAAACUUGGCGGUCAGGUAAUAUACAGUGAAUGACAGGUUUCCAUGCAGACGUCCAUGUACGGUGACUUUUGCAGCCAAUGAGGAUUGGCGGAAAAAUGCAUACGGUGAACCUCUUAUAUGAGUGAUAACUCUGAAACCUUAUUUAUCUCUUAUCAUUUCCUCACUAUGCUCUAUCAAAACUAUAGAACAAAAAUUCAGACCUUAGUGUUGUUAUAAUGCAAAUUAACAGCAAAGUUCAGAAUAGCAUGGGUCGUCGAAUUGGUGUAAAUUAGACAUCGUGAGGGUAUCUCACACUGGAGAAAUCAGACCGUUAAAUUUCCAAUUUUUCCGCAGUCUUCCCGUAAAUACUGGCUGCCGAAAUUAGCCGACACUAAAGAAGUGUUUCUGAUUUUAGAAUAGCAAGUGGAAAGGACUUACAUAAAAAGAGGCAUUCACGAUUGCCAAUGAGAGUGUUGAGUGGCUGAAAGAGUAUUAAAGGCUCAAGUACGAUUCCUUGUUUGAUGCUGGAGGGCCCUAGUCAUCUGGUAAAAUUUAAAAAGAUGUGGCAGCGGUGGGAUGAGCAGGAGUUAGCAUCAGUAUGUUUAGCUGCUGAGAGCCGACCUUCUACACGAUUGUAAAACACCAGCGGAGUUGAUAGUCGGUUAGAGUAGGUCGGAUCACUGAGUCGAAAAGUCUGAGCGUCUCGACGCUGGUCGGGUAGCGCUACGGGUGCGCAACCGUAGACGAAUCGGCGCGAGCAAGUAUUACACACCAAAUGUCUACCCGUUCGGAAACACCGCAGGCAUGUUCCGUAAAGCCAGCUCAGUAUCUGCAAGGCCAAAAUGCGAAUCAAAGUAUAGCACUUACGAGCACGACUUUCGGAUCUUCUAACCAGUCUGCUAGUCCUGCUCCAUGUCAGCACCAUUUGUAUGCAAAGUCGACGUGUGUCCGCGUACCGCACGUCUCCGAGGCGACGUCUAACUAAGAGCUCUCAUUAAGCUGCACCAGUUCGUCGGCUGUUACCGGUUAGAAUUGGUAACCGUGUUGCAAACUGAAAACUAACUCUAGUAGUUCGCGCAUACGAAAAAGAUAUGGUACCGUUCCGGGCGGAUGGAAUUGCAUUGUUUUCUCGAUAAGGCAAGUUGCGAUUAUAUGAUCCUUUGGCUCCAAGAUUGCUCGACAGGAGAAACCUCGCUUGAACUCAUGGAUAUAUCCUCAACGGUAAUAUUUGCUACAGGAGGAAGCAAAACAGUGAUCGAACACUGCUCGUUGUGGAUGUUUGACGAGGUAAGCCUUGUCUUCAUAAAGACAAAAGCGGGCGUCUGCAGGCGUCAUUCAUGCGUUAACCAACCGGCUUACUCUAGGCUUCAUGGACAGCGCCAAAAACAUGCAACGCAGCGGACCUCGAUCACAUCGAAAUGCGAAAGCCAGUAGUAACCAGAGUUUCAGCCUAGAAGCAUAGUACGACAGCUAUCUCGAAAUAAAAGGUAAAAGACGAUGUCUUGUAUUACAAAGCGCGAGAAAUUUCUGCAGGAAGGGUAAGUCUGGCCAAAAUGGUACAAAUUGUAUUUUAUUUACUUUAAAUAACAAAAUACAUCUUUAUUCAAGGGUGAACUGGAAUAAAUAGAUAUGAUAUUAACGAAAGCACAGGAACGUCAUGGAUUCAAUUUUUUUCAAAUAAACUAAAAAUAUGCUUCUGACUGGAACCAGUAACUGUUGUAUGGUGGUGUGAUCCUGGUUGGAAACGCGUUACGCAGAAUUGCCUAAUAGAAUGUUUACGAAGCCAUCUACCUACAAGCGACAGAAAUUAAUGUUUUUUUUUUAAUUAAAUCAUACGUUUAAUGUAUGUCAUUAAGAGGACUUAAAUCAACGACCUCUAGCUGUCUUAGCCAAAAGUUCAGCCGUCAAAGUCGAAACUCCCAUGCAAAAUCCUGAUAAGUAAAGGACGUAUUUAUCAAUUAAUAUAUUAAAAUAUAUAAUAUAUAAAAAAAAUAUGGUUAACAUAUUAACCAUAUUUU